rnacentral:ncRNA from 1 species
GGGGAAGUAUGGUCACAAGGCUGAAACUUAAAGGAAUUGACAGAAGGGCACCACCAGGAGUGGAGCCUAUGGCUUAAUAUGACUCAACACGGGAAAACUUACCAGGUCCAGACAUAGUAAGGAUUGACAGAUUGAGAGCUCUUUCUUGAUUCUAUGGGUGGUGGUGCAUGGCUGUUCUUAGUUGGUGGAGCAAUUUUUCUGGUUAAUUCCGAUAAUGAACGAGACCUCAGCCUACUAACUAGCUAUGUGGAGGUUCCCCUUUGCAGCCAGCUUCUUAGAGGGACUAUGGUCGUUUAGGCCAUGGAAGUUUGAGGCAAUAACAAGUAUGUGAUGCCCUUAGAUGUUCUGGGCCACACACAUGCUACAUUGAUGAAGUCAAUGAGUUUUUCUCCCUGGUUCGAGAGGAUCAAGAAAUAUCCUCAAAUUGCAUCAUGAUGGGGAUAGACCAUUGCAAUUAUUGGUCUUCAACGAGGAAUUCCUAGUAAGCAUGUGUCAUCAGAUCAUGUUGACUACGUCCCUGCCCUUUGUACACAUCGCCCAUCGCUCCUACUGAUUGAAUGAUCCGGUGAAGUGUUCGGAUCGCGUCAAUGAGGGUGGUUCACCAUCGAUUAUAUCGUGAGAAGUUCAUUGAACCUUAUCAUUUAGAGGAAGGAGAAGUCGUAACAAGGUUACCAUAGGUGAACCUAAGGUAG